UGAGUAAUGUCUGGGAAACUGCCUGAUGGAGGGGGAUAACUACUGGAAACGGUAGCUAAUACCGCAUAACGUCGCAAGACCAAAGAGGGGGACCUUCGGGCCUCUUGCCAUCAGAUGUGCCCAGAUGGGAUUAGCUAGUAGGUGGGGUAAUGGCUCACCUAGGCGACGAUCCCUAGCUGGUCUGAGAGGAUGACCAGCCACACUGGAACUGAGACACGGUCCAGACUCCUACGGGAGGCAGCAGUGGGGAAUAUUGCACAAUGGGCGCAAGCCUGAUGCAGCCAUGCCGCGUGUGUGAAGAAGGCCUUCGGGUUGUAAAGCACUUUCAGCGAGGAGGAAGGUGGUGAACUUAAUACGUUCAUCAAUUGACGUUACUCGCAGAAGAAGCACCGGCUAACUCCCGUCCACAGCAGCCGCGGUAAUACGGAGGGUGCAAGCGUUAAUCGGAAUUACUGGGCGUAAAGCGCACGCAGCGGUUGUUAAGUCAGAUGUGAAAUCCCCCGG
rnacentral:rRNA from 1 species